rnacentral:rRNA from 1 species
GCUUAACACAUGCAAGUCGAGGGGCAGCGGGGGUAGCGAUACCCGCCGGCGACCGGCGCACGGGUGAGUAACGCGUAUGCAACUUGCCUAUCAGAGGGGGAUAACCCGGCGAAAGUCGGACUAAUACCGCAUGAAGCAGGGGCCCCGCAUGGGGAUAUUUGCUAAAGAUUCAUCGCUGAUAGAUAGGCAUGCGUUCCAUUAGGCAGUUGGCGGGGUAACGGCCCACCAAACCGACGAUGGAUAGGGGUUCUGAGAGGAAGGUCCCCCACAUUGGUACUGAGACACGGACCAAACUCCUACGGGAGGCAGCAGUGAGGAAUAUUGGUCAAUGGCCGAGAGGCUGAACCAGCCAAGUCGCGUGAGGGAUGAAGGUUCUAUGGAUCGUAAACCUCUUUUAUAAGGGAAUAAAGUGCGGGACGUGUCCCGUUUUGUAUGUACCUUAUGAAUAAGGAUCGGCUAACUCCGUGCCAGCAGCCGCGGUAAUACGGAGGAUCCGAGCGUUAUCCGGAUUUAUUGGGUUUAAAGGGUGCGUAGGCGGCCUUUUAAGUCAGCGGUGAAAGUCUGUGGCUCAACCAUAGAAUUGCCGUUGAAACUGGGGGGCUUGAGUAUGUUUGAGGCAGGCGGAAUGCGUGGUGUAGCGGUGAAAUGCAUAGAUAUCACGCAGAACCCCGAUUGCGAAGGCAGCCUGCCAAGCCAUUACUGACGCCGAUGCACGAAAGCGUGGGGAUCAAACAGGAUUAGAUACCCUGGUAGUCCACGCAGUAAACGAUGAUCACUAGCUGUUUGCGAUACACUGUAAGCGGCACAGCGAAAGCGUUAAGUGAUCCACCUGGGGAGUACGCCGGCAACGGUGAAACUCAAAGGAAUUGACGGGGGCCCGCACAAGCGGAGGAACAUGUGGUUUAAUUCGAUGAUACGCGAGGAACCUUACCCGGGUUUGAACGCAUUCGGACCGAGGUGGAAACACCUUUUCUAGCAAUAGCCGUUUGCGAGGUGCUGCAUGGUUGUCGUCAGCUCGUGCCGUGAGGUGUCGGCUUAAGUGCCAUAACGAGCGCAACCCUUGCCACUAGUUACUAACAGGUAAAGCUGAGGACUCUGGUGGGACUGCCAGCGUAAGCUGCGAGGAAGGCGGGGAUGACGUCAAAUCAGCACGGCCCUUACAUCCGGGGCGACACACGUGUUACAAUGGCGUGGACAAAGGGAGGCCACCUGGCGACAGGGAGCGAAUCCCCAAACCACGUCUCAGUUCGGAUCGGAGUCUGCAACCCGACUCCGUGAAGCUGGAUUCGCUAGUAAUCGCGCAUCAGCCAUGGCGCGGUGAAUACGUUCCCGGGCCUUGUACACACCGCCCGUCAAGCCAUGGGAGCCGGGGGUACCUGAAGUCCGUAACCGAAAGGAUCGGCCUAGGGUAAAACUGGUGACUGGGGCUAAGUCGU